GUUCUGAGGUAACCAUAGUUUUCAGCAAAAAUUAGAAGGAUUUAUAACUAUGGUCCUUUUCUAAAUGCUACAAAUAUGAUAUACAGAAACACAUAUAACACUGAAACAGCAUACCACUUAAUUCCACCAGUUGUAGCUAUUGCAAUUUUCAAAUUUUGAACAGUAAAUACAGGAACUCCCUCAAGCCUUCUUCUAUGUUCUGUGGGAUCAUCUUAAGAAGCUUUUUCGCUGCUUCGACCUGAAAAAAGAAGCAAAUCAUUCCAUAUAAAUGGAACCAUAUAACAAGAGAAGCUCUGUUUCUUACCUGUUUUCUGCUUGGAACAAAUUGAAACAUGUGAGGCCUUUCCUGCAUAACAAAUGGUAAACAAUGUUGCAACUAGACCAAGGAAAAUGAUCAUAUAGUGAUAGUCAACGCAAAUGAGUACAUAAAGAUGAUGCAAGUAGAUAUGUCAUGUAAUUAGCAAUUUGGCAACUGAAAUAAAAUUGUUUAUGGAACACAAAGUUUCAUUUUCUAAAAGACUCUAAUUGUCCAAAAGAAAAUAAAUAGUCCUGCAAGUCUGCACCGUUCAAAUGCUGACUGAUAUUGCAGUAAAAUUAUAAAACAUAUGCAGCUUUGUUAGAUAAUAUGUACUACAGGGAAGGUGGAAGAGAGUCAAUCAUUUGCACAAAACGUAUUCAACUCAAAAUUAUAGAGUCAUACUAAACCCCCUUGAGUUGUGGAUACCUUAUGGUUAGUUUACAAUAUUCUAGGAAAUGUGACAUCAAUUUGUUAUUUAUGGCUAAACCAAGAAAUCUCGCAUCAAAACCUUUUUCACAAGUCUCAUGAUCUUGCUAUUUAAACUAUAGAACACAGAUAGAUGUAGAUAUAGACAACCUACAAUAAUUGGAUCAUUCGGAAAAACUGGAGUACCCAACUCAGAUGCUUGGAUAUUUAUCCGCUACAUAGAGACUUGGAAUUCUAAUUCAAAUGGGGCUUUGAACUCCUGACAUAGUUUUGUUGAACCAUUGUUUCUUUUUUCUUUUCUUUUCUUUUCUUUCCUUUUUCUUCUUCUUCUUCUUCUUCUUUUUUGACAAGAUUGCUCACUCCAUUCAGAAACUGUAUCUGUUAAUGAGGCACCUUAUACGAUUUUUUAAUGUACUUAGAUGAUGCAUGGUUUGUUUUAAGAUUAAAAUAUGUAAGUGGUUGUUUUAAGUUAUCAAAUUUGAAGAAAAAAGUCAAACUUGUGUACUAGUUGCUAUUUUCUAAUGUAAUGGAUUAAGGGAGCUGUUUUUUUUAUCCUCUAUGAAUUUUCCUUUUUUGAAUUUUAAGCAUGAAUUCUUGCAAAAAUUGCAUGAACCUACAGUUGCCGUCUCCUUUAAAAUUUCGGUGCACCCACGAAUGAUAUAGGGCAAGGUGUUCCGUAUCCGUUAUGAUAUGCCCGUUAAUGCCAAUGUGUAUAGAUAACGGCCAUGACUGUUAUGUGAUAAGGGGGUGAAAUGGGGCAGUUGGUUUUUUGGGACCAUAUCAGCCGUUACGGUGGCCGUAAAGGCCGUUACGGGGCAUAAUGAUCGUUACCCCCAUAACGGUCGAAAAACAACAACUUUUUUCUAUUUAAAUCUAUUUCUCUCAGCUUUUUCACUUUUCUCGUUCCAAAAAGUUUCGUAGAUCAUUUUACAACAGAUUUCGACCACUCUUACUAAAGUUUUUAAGAUUAAAACUAUAAAUUAAAGUGAUUUGAUCGAAUAGAUCUUGAAAAAAAAUAUGAAAAAGUAGUAUUUAUGCCUUUUUUAUUUCUAGUUGUAAUGCUUGAUUGUAAUGUGUAAACAUUAGAUACAUAUAAUCAUGUUCAAAACAAAAAAUGAAUACAUAUAUAGAAUAUUUACAUUGUUCUAGAUUUUCUACAUAUUUUUUCAUAAAAUUUUGGUCAAAAGAACAUUUUCAACCAUUACGGGAGUCAUAACGGUCGUUACGCCCCUGUAUCGGCUGUUAGGGCCGAUACCCAUAUCGGUAAUGGUGGUGACUGUUACAGCCACCGUUGCCGAUACAGAAUACCUUGAUCUAGGGUCACCUACUAAGUGUUUUAUGUGUGCAAAUGGUACAUUUUAUUGCAAAUAUUACCUUUUUUUUUUCUCUAUUACUCAGCCUGUGUACAUCUUGUGCAUGACCUUGCCUAUGAUUGAUAAUUGCAGUUCUUAUCUUGGUUUCUCAUUGAAUGUUUUAUUUAUUUGGGAAUCAUUUCGCAAAGAAUCAUGGAUUAGAUCUACACAAGGUUGUAUUCAAACAGGCUAUUGAUGUAGGUCUCAAAGUCCAGUUCUGUAAAAGUGGAGAAGCUUAUGAAUGUUGAACGAUACUCCUAUGUGAUGCACAUUAGCUCGAUUGUGAGGUCUUUUGCUUUCAGUCAUAAAUGGAUGGAAAAUAGAACUUUGACAAAGUUCCAAAGUCUUUCAUCUUACUUCCAUGUUAUGUAUUAGCCACUUGAAAUUCUUGAUACAUAUUGGCUAAUAUGAUAUGAAUUUGUCAAUAAACCUCUACCAAAAUAAAGGGGUUUGGAUCUUCCAAUCUGAUGGAGAUUUGUAGGGCAUCCUCCAUCUACAGUUCCGGCUCCAAUCCUUUUAUUUUAGAUUACAUCUUCUCUAUGAUUCUGGAAAGUUGCAUUCCCAUAGCUUUUAUCAUGACAAUGAACCUUGAGUGAGCAAACAAGCUCCAAUUCAAAUACCUUAUUAUAUGUCAUUGAAGCUUUUGACACUGGAUGUGUACUGUUUGGUAGCUAUUGGCUCAAAACCUGGUAGAAAAUUCAAGUCUUUUUUUUUUUUUUUGUGCAAGCUAUGGGGGACUUGUUGGAUCAUCUAACUAGCUGGGAUGUUGGAACAUAAUCUAUUGUUGCAGUUUAAUGUAGACCAGUGUAUUUUGGAAAAUUGCACCAGUCCUCUAUCUAGACCAGUGUAUUUGGAUGUAAGCUAUUGCAGAAUGCAAUUUGUUAUUGAUUGUGCUUAAAAGAUGAACUUCA